ACGACUCAGGGCGCCGUGUGGUGGAAUUGUAUCCCGUGCUCUCUCUCUCUCUCUCUCUCUCUCUCUCUCUCUCUGUUUCUCCCACGUUACGAUCCAUUUCCCCAACUCGAUCGCCCCCGACGAAACCCUCGUCGUCGUCAACCUCCUCCCCCCUCUCCGCCGCGCCAUGAAACCCUCGCAGAAUAAGAAGAAGAGCAGGAAGAAGAAGCCGAAGCCCUCUUCUCCCCUUCCGCCGCCCUCCCAAAGAUCCGACGCUGAAUCGAAGGGGGACGAAGGCGAGGAGAGGAAGGACCUGGAUUGGUUGAUCGACGAUACUAACCAAUCCAUUGAUUGUUAGCUAAAAAAAGAUUAUUUUAUAUAUUUUUUCUCAACUUUGAAAAUGUUUUUUAAAUUUUCUCUCACUUGGAGUCUGAUGAGAUUUUAAGCUCAAAGAUUUAAGUAUCCUAGUACGGAAUCAUGUCAAAAUUUCAUGCGUGUCGAAUAGUAUCGAUACGUGUAUACUGGUCAUAAAAAAUAUAUUUGUGCCGACACAUAAUGUCAUGAAAUAUUUAUUUUUUUUAGCAAUAUAAUAUUACAACCGUUAAUUAUAUAUCUUUAUCAAAUAUUUUAAAUUUUAUUGAAAAAAAUUAUUUACUAAUUUAAAAAAUAUAGAGUUUUGAGCUGUGCAAUCAGUACGAGGGCAGUAUCGUGCCGAUAUCUUGUUGACAUGAUAUAGUACGAUGGAUACGGCCGGUAUUGAUGGAUAUACUUAAAUUCUUUCGUUUAAACUUGUUGGUAGCCAAAUUCCCUAAUCCCUGACCCGGUCAAAGAUACCCCUCAGGAAGCGCGUCGGGAUGCGAAACAGCUGCGAAUAGUGACCCUCGAAGUUUGCACCCUUCGACUGGAUCAAGCGAUUCGGCUAAUGAGGGAUCGGAUCAGCCGAGUUCAAAAAUCUCUACUUUUAAAUCUGUUCGGCUGGAUGAGCCGAAUGUAUGGACUGUGCAGGGAUCAAUGUCGGCAGAAGAGCCGAAUGGAAGAAGUAUACAGUAACUGGUCGGCUGAAAGAGCCGAAUACCUAUAUAUACAUAUUAAUAAAACAAAGUGUGCCUGAAGGGCAUACAGACUCUGCAAAUAUGUAGUUUACAACAGAGUGAUACCCGUGGGGCAGACAGACUUCAGAAUUCUAUUUAAAAGCUACUCCUAUGAAAACAAUAAAUGCGAAAAAGAAAAUAUUACAUUUAGACUACUUCUAGAAAGCAAUAAAUGCAGAAAAUGAAAGAUAUGAAAAUGCGGCGGUCUUCUCGUUUACAGAAGAGAAAGACCGCUAUUGCAGGCUUUGAAAUUACUAUUUAUAGUAAUAUCAACUCACAUUAUUGGUUGGUUAAAAGUAGUGGGGGGAGUGGUUGUAACCAUGAUCGUGGAGGUUACGCCCACUCCUCAUAGAAGUUACGCCCUAUCGUAGAAGUUACGCCAACUUUUCAUGGAAGUUACGGCCCACUUCUCAACCGUUCUCGCCUAAACCUUCAGUCGCCUUAUUGCCUGCCGACUCCUGAUGUGCUACGCAGGGACGAAGCCAGAAUUCAAUCACAAGGGGGGCCAAAAUAUGUACAAAUAAAAAGUUUAGCAGAUAAAUAAAAUUUUAACUACUCAAAUUUUUAAUAAAAAAAUUUAGUGAUUAGAUAAUUAAUGUUAAAAAAUAUUAAAUUUAUUUUUUUAAUUUACACUUGCUUAACUUCUAAUUAUUUUAUUUGUAUUAUUUCAUUCAAAUAAUUUAAGAAUUUUACUAAAUCUAAUAAAAAUUUAGUUAGAAUUUAAUUUUUUUUAAAUUUUUGUUAAUAAAAUAAUAACAACCAAUGACUAAUAUCUAACAGAGCUAUUAAAUUUAGCAUACUAUUUUAUUUAGUUAAAUAAAUUAGCUCAUCAAAAUAAUUGGAAAGUUAAGAAUGUAUAAAUAAAAUAUUUAAAGUUGAAAGGACUUAUUUCAAAAUGCACUAUAAUUAAAAGGUUCUUAAUAUAUUUUCACCUAUAAAACACAUAAGAAGAGAGAGAGAGCUCUAUAUUAGCACUAAAAACUUUUUACAAAAUAGGCCGAUAUAUUUUAAAAAUUAACUGAAAAUAUAUAAACUACCAAAGAACUAUAAAGUAAAUAUUGAAAAGUUGAAGAGGGUCAUAGCUCCUUUGGGUCUAUAUAUGGAGUCUUGGCCCACAAGGCAACAAUUCUUUUCAAAAAUUUUCACUUUGGUCCCCUAAAUUUACAAUAUUUUAAUUUUUUUAAUAGCUUACUAGUGGAUUGUUCUGUAAUUUUAAAAAUGGGGGGGGGGUAUGGCCAUUGUCGGCCCCCACAUGGCUCCGUCCCUGGUGCUACGUAUCUUUAUUGAUUCAUACGUGGUUUACUUAAUUUUAAUUUUGGCAUCAAUAAAACUCAUGACUUCUUAAUUUACUACCAUGCACGUAAACUUUAUUUUCAGCAUUUAUAAUUCACAACAACCAAAACAACCAGAAAGAAUCUGUGACAUUACACCGGCCCGUGAAUGACCAUAGGCGUCAAAAUCCAAAUUAAUACUCGGCUCCAUUUGCUCCAUGAUUGCAUUGGGUCGAGCCCAUGCUCGUGCUAGAAUCACUUUCUCUCACAGUCGCCUCUUUAUGGGAGAUAGCCCACCUCUAUGGCUCUAUGCUGGCCUUUUUCUCUACCCCUACCUCUAUAAAUCCAACCCUGUUCCUCCUCACACCAUGCACAACAACAACUACUAUAUAUUUCUCAUUAAUUAAUUAAUUCGAUCUCUCUUGAAUCCAUGGCUCGCCUUUUGCCUCUCCUCUCCUUUCUUUUGGUGAGCAAAUUCAUAUACGCGACAUGCAUGCUUUCGUUAAAACAAGUGAUUCUGUAGAAGCUCUAGCUAAGUUGAAUCGGCGUGCGAUAACGUGACAUAAGUUGUGUUUUUAAGUGGAUCUAGAUAUAUAUGAUUAACUGUGCGUAAAUUAAGGAGAAAACAUUUGAUGUUCGCGCGUAUAUACAACGUGCGGCACCAGCUUAGUACCUUUUAGACCUAGAAAUGAUCAAAAUAACUGAAAUUCGUAGAAUUAUGAUUUUUUUAAAUUUUUACUUUCUUCGUGGUUUUAUUUGGCAGAUAAUGUUGUCUUUUUCCCUCACAAUUUAUUAUUUUAUUUUAUUUUUUAUAUAUAACAAAUUAUUGAUUGAUAUUUGUAUAUUUCAGCUGGCCAUUGCAGUAGGAGCGAGACAUGCAGCUUCGCCUGCAGAGGUCUACUGGCAGAACGUCCUGCCCAACUCUCCCAUGCCGAGCGCAAUCCGUGACCUGCUGCUCCCUGGUUGCUCUCUCUCUCUCUCUCAAUUAUUUUUUCUUAAAAUUUUAAAAUAUUAAAUGACAGUGUUAAAAUUUUAAAAUAUUAAAUAACAGUAUUUGUGUUUAAUUCGUAUUCAAAGUUAGCCAACUUUUGCGAGGUUUUAAAAUAACGCAUCUCACAUAGUUAGCAAAAGAACUUAUGAGUAUCCCAACUAGUUAAUACUUUUAGUUAAGUUUAUUUCUAAAAAAUGAAUGAAACAAGUAAUAUACUAUUUUUCUCUUUUAAAAAAAAAUCACUAGAUUUAGCAAAAUUUGAUAAAAAUUAUAAUCAAAUGAUCUCACAUCGUAAGAAAACAAAUUAAUGCCUAUCCCAUCUAUUUGGUUGGAAACGCACGCAUGAAAAAAAAAUAAAUAAAUAAAACUGUGAUUUGGAAAAAAAAAAAAAAAAAGAAAGAAAAAAACUCAUCUUUCCACGUUUUUUGGAAUGAAAGUUUAAUAGAGAAAAAAAUGAAGAGCAAAAAAAAUUACUCAUAAUAACAACUUUUUCUUAUCUCCUAAGUAUGAGAGAAAAAUAACAUUCUAAAAAUAUUUUUUAAUUAUUUUUAAAAAUAAGCGGGGGACUUCAAUUAUAAUCAUGCAUGCACACAAGCGCUAUCGAAUCUCAGUUACUACCCCUUAAUUCAAACAGUAUAUAUAUAUAUAUAGAGUCCGGCUACUAUACUAUCUAUAGUACGGGAGCUUCCGUACUAUAGUGUCGUUUUCGAUCUUCGGGCGUUCAAAUCAACGAUCCACACCGUUAAAACUGAUCUAGGAUAUUUAAAGUUUUUAGAAAUAAAUUUUUAUAUUUUUUCGACAUAGUUUACUUUAUGAUCAAAACAUUUUAAAAUUGUCAAUUUUCAAUGGCUAUUAUGACGAGUUGGGAGUUUAACGGUGUAGAAGAAUCUAAAUUUCUUCAAAUUUUGAUAGAAAAUACUUUAAACUAUAUAGAUUAAGGUUAACAUUCUUGAUCUUGAAUUUAAAAGUCCUAUGCUCAAAUUUUAAAGAGUAUUCAAUUCCCACCGUCAUUUUGACAUAAUUUAUUUACUAAGUAAACGAUGUCGAAAAAAUAAAAAUUUAUUUCUAAAAACUUAAAUACCCUAGAUCAUUUUUAACGUAUGGAUCGUUGAUUAAUGCCCAAGAUCGAAAACUACACUAUAGUACGGGAGCCUCCACUAUAUAUAUAUAUAUAUAUAUAUAUAUAUAUAUAUAUAUAUAUAUAUAUAUAUAUAUAUAUAUAUAUAUUACGAAUUAUGCUAUUAUAUUAUCGAUAGUAUCAAAUAUUUGAUGCUAUUAGAUUUUCGACCUUUAAAUAAAAGAACGUGUGAUUAGAAUAAUAACAAAUUCUUCGAAUUGAAUGGAUGGUUGGUUGAACAGUAUUAAUCUAAUAAAUGACAAUGAUCAAAAGAAUAAUUUUAACAGCGAAAAAUUUAAUAGCACCAAGCGUUUGAUAUAGUAUACUAUAUUUUAAAUAUUUGUCUUUUUUUGAAACAUAUAGGAAAAGUAACCACCUCAGCGAACGUAGACGGAGUAGGCUCCGUGUUCUUCCUGGAGAAGGACCUGCACCCGGGCUCAAAGAUGACCCUGCAUUUCACCCGGACCGCCUCCACCGCCACCGUGCUCCUCCCGCGCCGCGUCUCCGACUCGAUCCCUUUCUCUUCCGCCAAGCUCCCGGAGAUACUCUCCCGCUUCUCCGUCGACGCCGCCUCUGCAAGGGCUGACGCCAUCAAGAGCACCCUCACCGAGUGCGAGGCCCCAGCCCUCGGCGGCGAGGACUGGCUCUGCGUCACCUCGCUCGAGUCCAUGGUCAACUUCACCACUGCCAGCCUCGGCAUCCGCGACUUACGGGCCGUGUCCACCGCUGUCGGCCGUGAGGGUACGACACAGUGAAAUAACCGUUUUUCUCUGAAACCAAAGAAAAAAAAAUCUAGUGUAAACAUAGAAAACAAGAGAAUUUUAUGUACUAGAGAGCGUCCCAACAGAAAGAUAGUCCGAUCAAUCUCAGCUGGCAAAACUCGAGUGAUAUUUUCUUAAUAUUUUAUAUUCAACAGGCACGCCGAAGCAGGCAUAUACGAUCGAGAAUGUAAAGAAGAUGUCCACCCCAGGAUCCGAGCUGGUGGCAUGCCACGGCAUGAAGUAUGCGUACGCGGUGUUCCACUGCCACAUGACGACCGCGGCCGCCUACACCGUAUCGAUGGCGGGCGCCGACGGGACGAGGGUGGAGGCGCUCGCAGCGUGCCACACCGACGCGGCAGCCGGGUCGAGGAGGCGUUCAAGAAGCUCAACGUCGAGCCCUGGAGCGUGCCAGUGUGCCACUUCCUGCCCCAGGAUGAUCUCCUGUGGAGCCGCAACUAACUUGGCAGAUUAGAACAUGUGAAUUAUGACGUGGAGUGGACUGCUACAUAUUAUAAUCUGGUCUGUGAUCCAUGGUUUAUUGGGCCAGCUAACUGGUGUACUAGCGUGUAUGUGUGUUGUACUGUGUUGUCCUCGUCCUUGUCCUUGCCGGCACAUAUCUAAACUGUAUCCAUGUUUCCUCUAUGUUAUAUAAAUAAGAAAACUUAUUCUAAAAUGUUGGUUUCCUGUAGAAAUGAAUGCACGUCUAUGUGAUAGUGAAUUUUUGCUAUCAUUUUAUAACAUUUUUUUUAAAAAAAAAACUCUAUCUUAGAAUUAAAUUUAUUUUAAAAAAGAAUCGAUAUUGUCAAAAUUAGUUUUGAUAUUACCAGAAAAGCUAGGCAAUAGCAGAAACUUCUGUGGCAACAUCAGUUUCCAAUUUCAGAUAUCUUUUGAACUAUCAAAUACAGUACAAGAUAAUGUGUUUCCAAACUGGGCCUUAACAAGUUAACGGGUUUGCUCGGGCCUGCUAAGUGGGCCCGAACGAUGAUGGGCCUCAUAGGCCCUAUGGGUUGUGUACUGUAAUCGGAGCCGGAUCUUGAUGCGCUCGAUUGGGCUCCGCAUCAGGUUUAGUUUGGUCCUAAUUUGACUAGGGGUCAAACGCGAGUGGUGCGCUUGGGUGCGAGAUCCUCGGGCACAGACGACUCAGGGCGCCGUGCGGUGGAAUUGUAUCCCGUGCUCUCUCUCUCUCUCUCUCUCUCUCUCUCUCUCUACCUUUCCCACGUUACGAUCCCUUUCCCCAACUCUAUCGCCACCGACGAAACCCUCGUCGUCGUCAACCUCGUCCCCCUCUCCGCCGCGCCAUGAAACCCUCGCAGAACAAGAAGAAGAGCAGGAAGAAGAAGCCGAAGCCCUCUUCUCCCGCUCCGCCGCCCUCCCAAAGAUCCGGCGCUGAAUCGAAGGG
rnacentral:lncRNA from 1 species